rnacentral:rRNA from 1 species
GUCUACGGCCAUGCCACCCUGAAUGUGACCGAUCUUGUCUGAUCUCAGAAGCUAAGCAGGGUCGGGCUGGGAGACCACCUAGGGAUACAAAGUGCUGUAGGCU